AAGAUACCAAGUAUGGUGGGAAAUGGGUGGAAUUUGGUAUUUUGGACUACUCUGGACUACUAACGAUGAGCUUGAUUCCCUUCAAGAGGACUGGACACUCUGAUGAGUAGGAAGGAGAUGUUUGAGGUGAAAGAAAACAACCAGGAAAUAGCCAACAUGGAACGACAGCUCUCCGAGGUAGGUGAGAAAAUUAGCCAUCUCACUGAAGAGAUUCGACAACCAGAUGCUGACAUGGAGGAACAUCAAGAGACUGCAGGAGGAUCGAGUAACACUCACUCAGAGGAAGGACACAUUCAAGAAGAUGAUACAGUACCAUUUACAAGAGAACGAGACCCAUGCGGAGCUGACCAACAUGGAGAAGAAGUGACAACAUCUUGUGCAGAACAACUUUGUGAUGAAAGAAUUCAUCGCCUCCAAAGGUGUAGAAAGCGAUUACAGCAGGAAGAUGGAAAUAUAUUCUGUUGACUGAUUUCUGUAGAAGUCAAUGGAAAAUCCCCACUAAAAUAAAAAAUCAAGUGUGAGUGAGUAUACUGGUAUUCACUAUGUUAU
rnacentral:lncRNA from 1 species